CCUACGGGAGGCUGCAGUGGGGAAUAUUGCACAAUGGGGGAAACCCUGAUGCAGCGACGCCGCGUGAGUGAAGCAGUAUUUCGGUAUGUAAAGCUCUAUCAGCAGGGAAGAAAUAAAGUCCUUCGGACUUUGGACGGUACCUGACUAAGAAGCCCCGGCUAACUACGUGCCAGCAGCAGCGGUAAUACGUAGGGGGCAAGCGUUAUCCGGAUUUACUGGGUGGAAAGGGAGCGUAGACGGCAGCGCAGAUAUGGAGUGAAAUCCCAUGGCUUAACCAUGGAACUGCUUUGGAAACUGUGCAGCUGGAGUGCAGGAGGGGUAAGCGGAAUUCCUAGUGUAGCGGUGAAAUGCGUAGAUAUUAGGAGGAACACCAGUGGCGAAGGCGGCUUACUGGACUGUAACUGACGUUGAGGCUCGAAAGCGUGGGGAGCAAACAGGAUUAGAUACCCCAGUAGUC
rnacentral:rRNA from 1 species